AGAGGAGCAAAGCAUACGCAACGCCAUUUUGGAGGUGAAUUGAGAAAUGACGAAAAACGCUAACUAUAACAUCCGGCAUGUGGAGUAUAGGCCACGUAUGAUAUUUAUGAGUACUUCGUCAUCAUAUGGCGCUUCAUAUGUAUUUUGGCGAGGCGGAUUCCCAGCUACUGUAUUCAAAUUAGAUUCCCUAUAUUAAUUUAUUACACUGACCUAAAGGGGAGUGUUCUGUAGACAGAUCGACUGGAGUGAUGGAGGCCCACAAUUUGUCCUGCAUCAUUUGUUUGGAUCCCUUCACGGUCCCAGUCACCGUCCCAUGCAGUCACACCUUCUGUCGAGACUGCAUCACGGCUCUCUGGGACACCAAGUCCAAGUCCGACAUGCCCUAUCUGCAAUGAGAAAUUCACCACCAGGCUUGUCCUGAAUCGCAACGUGACCCUGUCCUCUCUGGCUGAGGCCUCAGCGAACAGUGCCGGUGCGUCCGGUAGAGACACUGUACCAGUUAUGAGGGGCGACAUGGCCAGAGCCAUGACCCUGAUUCUGUGUGACUGACACAAGAAGUCACUGGUGUACUACUGCUGGACAGACAACAUGUGUGUGUGCUGUGAGUGUGCCAUCUCUGAGUGUAAGAACCACGAGGAGGUGCUGGUGGAGUGUGAGAGGGAGAACCGAGAGGUGAAUGUCAGACAGACCUUAUGUAACUCCUAUGUUUUUGUGGAUGUCAAUGAGAUUAACACAUAAAAUAUGUUCUGGGGGCCUCCCGAGUGGCACAGCGGUCUAAGGCCCAGCAUCGCAGUGCUAGAUGCGUCACUACAGACCCUGGUUCGAUCCCAGGCUGUAUCACAAUUGGCCCAGCGUCAUCCGGAUGUCCUUGUCCCAUCGCGCUCUAGCGACUCCUUGUGGCAGGCCGGGCGCAUGCACGCUGACUUCAGUCGCCAGCUGUACAGUGUUUCCUCCGACAAGAAGCAGGGCGGCUUGGCGGGGUCGUGUUUCGGAGGACGCAUGGCUCUCGACCUUCGCCUUUCCUGAGUCCAUAUGGGAGUUGUAACUACCAAUUGCAUAUCAUGAAAUGGGGGAGAAAAAGGGGUCAAAAGAAUUCUGCCCCAGCCCCAUUGGCUGCCUGUGACCCAACACUAACUUCUGGAAAACACUGACUAUAUACACACUACAUUCUGUCUGAUGGGGACUACCUGCGGUCAACAUUUGUGUGCUGCAGCUGUCAUGGAAUUUAAUUCAUAUUCUACUACACACUCAAUGUGGUAUUGUCCAUCUGUUUCCACAGUCACUACUGUGGAGGAAGGGGGUGGAGGUGGGAAUAUGUAUGGAGACUGAAAGGAGCUGGGCUGACAGAGAAUAUCGCCCAAGAUGACCCUACAGCAGACCUCCCACUGGGUGAAUGCCAAGUUCUCCAUGCUGUUCGAGGUCCUAGCAGAGAAACAGGAGUCUACAGGGAAACUUCAUUGAGCAGGAGGGGGCUUCUCUCUUCCAGGCAGAGGCUCGGCUAGAGGAGCUGCUACAGGACAGGGCCCAGCAACUCAGAGAAAGCCAGGGCCAGAUCGUAGCCCUUAGCAACCUGUCCGACACCCAGCUAAUACAGGAGUCUCGGCUGGUGGAGGUCCCUCCUAUGAAGGACAUUCCGGUGGAUGUGACCCUUAACCUGUAGGAGAGGCUCAGCGGGGUGACAGACAUCCUGUCACGGAUCUCCAAACUAGUAUCUGAGGACCUGGAGAAGGCUGUGGGGCAGGACAAGCAAGGAUAAACGCCCCGUCCUGGCUGUGGUCCUCAGCCCUGCUGCUCCAUGUCACCCAGCUUGGAAAAAAGGCCUCAGUGAAUACCACUGCACUCUGACCCUCGUACGGGUCAACAGUCACCUGGUACUCUCCCAGGAGAACCGACAGGCAGAACACCUGACCGCCGCGCCGUGUCCCCGCCCACGAGACUCGUGUCCCCGCCCACGAGACUCGCUUUGACCACACCUGGCAGGUGCUCUGCUUCCAGGGCUUCAAACACAGAAAGCAGUACUGGGAGCUGGAGAUGUCCAAAGCCAUAGCCCUACCUGGGGUUCACCUAUGAGGGCAUCCCCAGGAAGGAAAAGGGAAAAGAGUAGCAUGGUGGGAAUGAACGAUCUGUCCUGGAGCCUCCAGCUGGAUGAGGAUCAGCUGAACGCCUGGCACAGCGGGCGCCGGGAGACGGUGGCUGGCCACUACCACCACAUUGGAAUGCUGCUGGAUUACGAGGCGGGAACGCUGACGUACUACGGAGACAGGCAGAUGAGGCUGCAUUCCUUCUACUGUGCCUUCACUCAGGAGCUGUUCCCCCGCCUGACGGAUAGGGGAGGGCGUCAGCAUCACCCUCUGCUCGCCAUGACGACAACACGAAAGGGAACAACUGAGCUAACAAUGUCAUAAGGGGCUAGUCUUGUAAAGCUGAUGAGUGUUGUGAUCUCGCCUUACUGUACAGAUGUUUUUACAGUCCUGUUGUGGGACACUGACUUGAACGAGAGCGACUGGUAAGUACAUAUGUGACACGGGACUCUUCUGCACUGUUUAUGUUCUGAAAUAUGGGAUCACUCGGGACAGUGGACUAGUCUUUGGGAUACUGAUGUGGAUUUGCAAGUUCUCAGAACCGUGAGCACAGUUAGGAACUGGAAAUGACUACUGUGCGGGAAACCGGUUUUCCAUAAGAGAAGGGAAAAGCACAUUUCUAGGAUCCCUAAACGCCGAAGAAAUUCCACAAAAGUUCCUGUUGGAUUUCUACUGAAGCUGACGUUAAAUGUUUUGCACUACUUUGUGUUGGAAGUUGGAACUGGACAAAUAUGGUAUUUAAAAUGUAGUCUUCUGAUUUAGACAGCUUGACGUUUUGUCAAACAAGGCAAUGACGUAGCGUGUAAAAAUACAGAAAGUCAGGUACCCAGGCUUGCAUCACAAUGUGUACAGAAAAAUGAACUACUGUCAAAUGAAUAAAAUGGACACACUUCACAUCACAAGAUCAGUUUAAUAAAAAUCCAAUCCAUAUUAGUUACAAUUGA